CCUACGGGAGGCUGCAGUGAGGAAUAUUGGUCAAUGGCCGAGAGUCUGAACCAGCCAAGUCGCGUGAAGGAUGACUGCCCUACGGGUUGUAAACUUCUUUUGUAUGGGAGUAAAACACGGUAUGCGUGCCCCCUUGUGUGUACCAUAUGAAUAAGCAUCGGCUAACUCCGUGCCAGCAGCCGCGGUAAUACGGAGGAUCCGAGCGUUAUCCGGAUUUAUUGGGUUUAAAGGGUGCGGAGGGGGAUGGUCAAGUCAGCUGUGAAAGUUCGGGGCUCAACCGUACAAUUGCAGUUGAACCUGGCAGUCUUGAGUGCGGGAGAGGUGUGCGGAAUGCGUGGUGUAGCGGUGAAAUGCAUAGAUAUCACGAAGAACUCCGAUUGCGAAGGCAGCAUACUGGACCGCAACUGACGCUGAUGCACGAAAGCGUGGGUAUCGAACAGGAUUAGAUACCCUUGUAGUC
rnacentral:rRNA from 1 species